rnacentral:lncRNA from 1 species
CUCCAGUCAACUUCUCGUUCCAAACUCAUUCUACAUACACUUCGAAGGGAGGCUGAAGAAGCUGAAGGCGAUGUCUGUACAGCUACUUAUUUAUUUGAUGCUUACUUAAUUUGUACUUAUUUUACAUGGGGUAGCAAAAAUUAUGCUGCAAUGCCAUUUUGGCUAUCCAGCAAUAUUUAUGGAUCAUUCCCAGGGAUGAAAGCACCUGUCAUCAAUCCUAUGCACUAACAUGGACGGGUCUCCACUGGACUCUGAGCUGCGCCCCAGCCAUGACCUUCCUCUCUGUAAGGUGACACUGCGGAGGGUGCCUCAGAGCAGCAUCACUGCUUUGGACACAGCUUGUGCGCCCCAGGAUGGGGUCUACCCAACCUCUCUCUUGGAUCUUGAUUUCCUUCCAGAUUGAGAGCACAGUGGCCACAGCAGUCCCAGCAUUUCUUAAAUCCCGGACUGUCUUGCUUUUUUCAAGGCGAGAUCUGGGGCCCUGCUUAGUCCUUAUUCCCAUUUCCCAGGGCUUUACCGCAGGUCCCUUGAGUUUGGUGCCAUGAGGAUUCCAGGGCCGAUUUCCAACCUGGCAGCAUCUGAAGGGGCUCUGGACCCUUCUGUCAUAUGACCUGAGGCGGAUUUCAGGCAACAGUGGAGUCUGAGAGGGUUGACUCUCUCUAAGACAAGGCAGAACUGGGCACACCCACGGUUAAUCCAAGACAGUGUGGCCCUGUACCUCCUGGGCCCUCCCAAUUACAGCUAAAACAUUGCAGCAUCUCAGAAGCAUGGGGAGUCCCUGAAAGGAAGAAAGAAGGAGGUGGGCACCCUGGAGGCCUCUGCUCAGCACCUUCCAUGAUCAAUCUCUCAGCAUCAGUAUAGUGUGAUGUCCCCAGCACACAUGUGGCAUAGAAGGAAGAUGGUGGGUGCCUCCGCUCAGCACCCUCCAUGAUCAAGCUGUGAGCAUCAGUAUAGUGUGAUGUCCCCAGCACACAUGUGGCACAGAAGGAAGAUGGUGGGUGCCCUGGAGGCCUCCGCUCAGCAUCUUCCAUGAUCAAGCUCUCAGCAUCAGUAUAGUGUGAUGUCCCAGCACACAUGUGGCACAGAAGGAAGAUGGUGGGUGCCCUGGAGGCUUCUGCUCAGCACCUUCCAUGAUCAAGCUCUCAGCAUCAGUAUAGUGUGAUGUCCCAGCACACAUGUGGCACAGAAGGACACAUGGCAGCCCCACAGCCAGAUCACACUCAAUAGUGAAGGGCUGAGAGCUUUCCCUCUAACAUCGAGAGCAAGGGUAGGCUGCCCUCCACCAAACACACACUUCUAUUCAGCAUCAAAGUGGAAGAGCUGGCCAGAGCAAUCAGGCAAGAAAAGGAAAUAAAAGGCAUCCAAAGACAAAAAGAAGUAGUUAAAUUGUCUGUUUUCUGAUGACAUGAUCUAAUGUAUAGAAAACCCGAAAGACUCCACCAAAAAACUAUUAGAACCGACAAAUAUCUUAUAACAUUUGUUUCUCUUUAGUAAUAGUAUUUAAAUUUCAUAAUUUUCAUAUUAAACUUUUAAUAACAUUUCUGUAUAUUCUAUUGGACUUUUAAUACAGAAUUAUAUGCACUGGAUAAUGAGGGUGUUAUUCCUUUUUGCAAAAGCUGAUAGAUUUCAUUAUUUUUUUCUUCCUUUAUUAAAUGGGUUAGCACUUCAGCAAUGUACAGAAUAAAUGUGAGCAGAGAAGGCAUCCUCAUCUUGAUUGAGUGAGAAAGAUUUCAACAUUUCUCCAACAAAUAUCAUGAUUCCAUUAUUUUGUAUAUACCCUUUCCUUAAGAUGAAGGGUAUUUAAUUAGAUUUUUAGAAUGCUAUUUUAAAAUUAAUUAUGAAUGACUUUUUAACUAUAUCAAUUUCAUUGUUUAAGGAUAUUUGAAUUUAUAUUCAUGAAUGAGUUUGGUCUGUAU